rnacentral:rRNA from 1 species
AUUGAACGCUGGCGGCAGGCCUAACACAUGCAAGUCGAGCGGAUGAAGGGAGCUUGCUCCUGGAUUCAGCGGCGGACGGGUGAGUAAUGCCUAGGAAUCUGCCUGGUAGUGGGGGAUAACGUCCGGAAACGGGCGCUAAUACCGCAUACGUCCUGAGGGAGAAAGUGGGGGAUCUUCGGACCUCACGCUAUCAGAUGAGCCUAGGUCGGAUUAGCUAGUUGGUGGGGUAAAGGCCUACCAAGGCGACGAUCCGUAACUGGUCUGAGAGGAUGAUCAGUCACACUGGAACUGAGACACGGUCCAGACUCCUACGGGAGGGAGCCGUGGGGAAUAUUGGGCCAUGGGCGGAAGGCUGAUCCAGGCAUGCCGCGUGUGUGAAGAAGGUCUUCGGGUUGUAAAGCCCUUUAAGUUGGGAGGAAAGGCAGUAAGUUAAUACCUUGCUGGUUUGACGUUACCAACAGAAUAAGCACCGGCUAACUUCGUG